CACCAGUUUAAAUCCUCUUUUUAAACGUGUCUGUUCCCUACGCGUUCACCACGGACUGUCGGCGUCACCCUGCGACUGUUUACCCGCCCCAAAUAUCACGGAACGACUUUUUAAAGACGCUAUUUAACAAGCUAACUUAGCGUGCUAGCGAUGCUAACGGCUAGCCUCCCGUUAGCUGUGUUUGUAAGUUAUCAAGCGGAUGGCGGAGAAGUUGUUUAAAUGUUGUUUUUUUGCUGACUUUAAACGCUUGAAAACACGGAGAAGUUGAGUGUGGUGUUGUCGCUGGUUUAUAAGUGUGUGUUUUUAGACGUUGCAGCAGGUUUAAGGGUGUUUUUCUUAUGUUUCUUUGUGUUGUUUAAAUGUUAGGUGCACCUGUUGCGAGGUGGACCUGCUAAACAACAGAUUUAAGAUAUCAGAGUGUGACGUCAGACAACAUGAACGCGCAGAGCAGAUAUUUUUAUUUUUUAUUUAUUUAGUUUCCACAUAUCUUAGUUUCGGCCCCCCCUCCCAGCCUCUCUGCAGUUGUUUGAGUUUCACUUCCUGGUUUCUCAGAGUGAUCAGAACCACAGACUGACUGAGAGAGAGAGAGACGGCCAUGUUUGAAAAUGUCCCAGCAGUGUCGUCAGCGGAGCGCCAGCAGGUACUGGGAGCUCUGGAGCGCCUGCAGGCCAAACUGGUCCAGAGGGAGGAGUGGACUCACGGGGAAACCAUGGGCAACCUGAGGCAGACCCUGCAGAGCCCGCUCUUCAACCACAUCCUGACCCUGCAGCACUCCAUCAAACAGCUCCGAAACCAG